GUCGGUGCUCUAUGUGGGUGUGCCCCACCUCUUCCCAUUCCGAACAGAGAAGUGAAAGCGCUCACAUCCGAUGAUACUCCAUUGGGGGAAAGUAGGAUGUGCCGACA
rnacentral:rRNA from 1 species